UUCUGACUCACUGGUUGUCUCGGGCCCGCCGCCGUGUCUGUUAUUUUGAGGGGCCUGCAGUUAAGGUGGUGUCGGUCGCGCGCGCACUCCAUUCUCCUGAAUUCGGCUGAGCCCUUUCGGGAGGUGUUGUCAGUCGGAACCUGGAGUGCCGAAUGCAGAACGGACUCUCUUCCCCCCCUUGCACAAAUUGUAAUAGGAAGAGGGAGGCAGGAAACGCAAAGGACAAGGUCUUGAUCCUGCAAUCUGAUCUAAGCAAACAGGCAGAUGAACCCAUGCAACACUGGAAAUAAGAAUUAUAAAUUAUACACUUAAGGCAAGAAGCACUAAUAUUUAUUUAUCUGCAAAGAAAGUACACUAAUAUUUAUUGUUAUAUGAAAAUGUAUCGGCAACAUUUUAAAAAAAACACAACCCAGCAACUUUUCUAAAAACAUGAAACUAAAUUUGUUCUAGGAAUUAUUCCUUUAUUCUGAAAAUUAUUGAAAAUUUCUACUUUGCUUUUUGUAGAAAUUCAGCUGGAAAUAGAGAUGUAAAUUAAUUAUCAUAUUUUGAUUUUCUGGAUUAGUAUAAACUAAUAGUUCAAAGUAAUGCAGUUCCUUUAAAUUCCAAUCCAGCUGAGAAGCUUGAAUUUAUUUAGACAGUAAAUAAAUGCUCUGUCAUAUUCCCAUGUGGAUUCA